rnacentral:rRNA from 1 species
ACCAGCAGCAAUAGCUUAUUGAAUGCACCAGUUUCCAAUAGAUCACAGAAGUUAAGCCACAUUACACAUGGGUUGGUAUCCGGAUGUGUGAACAUCUGGGCCAUUGAAAAUGUUAGUA